UACGAAGGGGGCUAGCGUUGCUCGGAAUUACUGGGCGUAAAGCGCACGUAGGCGGACUAUUAAGUCAGGGGUGAAAUCCCGGGGCUCAACCCCGGAACUGCCUUUGAUACUGGUAGUCUCGAGUCCGGAAGAGGUGAGUGGAAUUCCGAGUGUAGAGGUGAAAUUCGUAGAUAUUCGGAAGAACACCAGUGGCGAAGGCGGCUCACUGGUCCGGUACUGACGCUGAGGUGCGAAAGCGUGGGGAGCAAACAGG
rnacentral:rRNA from 1 species